rnacentral:rRNA from 1 species
ACGCUGACAGAAUGCUUAACACAUGCAAGUCGAUGAUGGGAGCUAGCUUGCUAGAAGAAGUCAUGGCGGACGGGUGAGUAACGUGUAAAGAACUUACCAUAUAGACUGGGAUAACAGAGGGAAACUUCUGAUAAUACUGGAUAAGUUAGUAGUAGCAUUACUAAGUAAUGAAAGGUAGUAAUACGCUAUAUGAGAGCUUUGCAUCCUAUUAGCUAGUUGGUGGGGUAAAAGCCUACCAAGGCGAUGAUAGGUAGCCGGCCUGAGAGGGUGGACGGCCACAAGGGGACUGAGAUACGGCCCUUACUCCUACGGGAGGCAGCAGUGGGGAAUAUUGGACAAUGGAGGCAAUUCUGAUCCAGCAAUUCUGUGUGUGUGAAGAAGGUUUUAGGACUGUAAAACACUUUUAGUAGGGAAGAAAGAAAUGACGGUACCUACAGAAGAAGCGACGGCUAAAUACGUGCCAGCAGCCGCGGUAAUACGUAUGUCGCGAGCGUUAUCCGGAAUUAUUGGGCUUAAAGGGCAUCUAGGCGGUUAAACAAGUUGAAGGUGAAAACCUGUGGCUCAACCAUAGGCUUGCCUACAAAACUGUAUAACUAGAGUACUGGAAAGGUGGGUGGAACUACACGAGUAGAGGUGAAAUUCGUAGAUAUGUGUAGGAAUGCCGAUGAUGAAGAUAACUCACUGGACAGCAACUGACGCUGAAGUGCGAAAGCUAGGG